CCAGACUCCUACGGGAGGCAGCAGUGGGGGAUAUUGCACAAUGGGGGAAACCCUGAUGCAGCGACGCCGCGUGUGGGAAGACGGUCCUCUGGAUUGUAAACCACUGUCCCCAGGGACGAAGAUGACGGUACCUGGGGAGGAAGCUCCGGCUAACUACGUGCCAGCAGCCGCGGUAAUACGUAGGGAGCGAGCGUUGUCCGGAAUUACUGGGUGUAAAGGGAGCGUAGGCGGGGAUGCAAGUUGGGUGUCAAAACUACCGGCUCAACUGGUAGUCGCACUCAAAACUGCAGCUCUUGAGUGAAGUAGAGGCAGGCGGAAUUCCUAGUGUAGCGGUGAAAUGCGUAGAUAUUAGGAGGAACACCAGUGGCGAAGGCGGCCUGCUGGGCUUUUACUGACGCUGAGGCUCGAAAGUGUGGGGAGCAAACAGGAUUAGAUACCCGAGUA
rnacentral:rRNA from 1 species